rnacentral:rRNA from 1 species
AAUGAACGCUGGCGGCGUGCUUAACACAUGCAAGUCGAACGAGGCGGAGGGGGCAACCCCUCCAGUCGAGUGGCGGACGGGUGAGUAACACGUGGGUAACCUGCCCGGAAGUGGGGAACACCUCGGGGAAACUCGAGCUAAUACCGCAUGACAUCUUCGGGACGAAAGUCCUGACGAUCAAAGCGGGGCCGCAAGGCCUCGCGCUUCCGGAUGGGCCCGCGCCCGAUUAGCUAGUUGGCGAGGUAACGGCUCACCAAGGCUUCGAUCGGUAACCGGCCUGAGAGGGCGAUCGGUCACACCGGAACUGAGACACGGUCCGGACUCCUACGGGAGGCAGCAGUGGGGAAUCUUGCGCAAUGGGCGAAAGCCUGACGCAGCAACGCCGCGUGGAGGAUGAAGGCCCUUGGGUUGUAAACUCCUGUCGGCU